rnacentral:rRNA from 1 species
GGWCUUYCCYUUSGGGGMCAAAGRRACRGKKGGKSCAKGGUKGUCGUCAGCUCGUGUCGUGGAGAUGUGGGGUUAAGUCCCGCAACGAGCGCAACCCCUAUUGUUAGUUGCCAGCAUUCAGUUGGGCACUCUAAUGAGACUGCCGGKUGACAAACCGGAGGAAGGUGGGGGAUGACGUCAAAUCAUCAUGCCCCUUAUGACCUGGGCUACACACGUGCUACAAUGGAUGGUACAACGAGCAGCAAGACCGCGAGGUCAAGCGAAUCUCUUAAAGCCAUUCUCAGUUCGGGAUUGCAGGCUGCAGCUCGCCUGCAUGAAGCCGGAAUCGCUAGUAAUCGCGGAUCAGCACGCCGCGGUGAAUACGUUCCCGGGUCUUGUACACACCGCCCGUCACACCACGAGAGUUUGUAACACCCGAAGUCGGUGAGGUAACCUUUUUGGAGCCAGCCGCCUAAGGUGGGACAGAUGAUUGGGGUGAAGUCGUAACAAGGUAACC